rnacentral:rRNA from 1 species
GUGACGGCGUGCCUUUUGCAUAAUGAGCCUACGAGUUGCUCCUCACUGGCGAGGUUAAGUUCUUAACUAACGGAGCCGUAGCGAAAGCGAGUCCAAAUAGGGCGUUUUAGUCAGUGGGGGCAGACGCGAAACUUUGUGAUCUAUCCAUGGUCAGGUUGAAGGUUAGGUAAAACUAACUGGAGGACCGAACUCAUAAACGUUGAAAAGUUUUGGGAUGAACUGUGGAUAGGGGUGAAAGGCCAAUCAAACUGAGAGAUAGCUCGUUCUCCCCGAAAUGUUUUUAGGAACAGCGUCGCAUUUUAGAAGUUUAUUAGAGGUAGAGCUACUGAUUGGGCUAGGGGGCUUCACCGCCUACCAAACCCUGACAAACUCCGAAUGCUAAUAAAUAUCUGCGGCAGUGAGGCUGCGGGCGCUAAGGUCCGUGGCCGAGAGGGAAAUAACCCAGAAUAGCAGCUAAGGUCCCUAAUACAUGGUUAAGUUGAUCAAACGAGGUGGAGUUUCUAUAACAGCCAGGAUGUUGGCUUGGAAGCAGCCAUUCAUUUAAAGAGUGCGUAACAGCUCACUGGUCGAGAGACUCUGCGCGGAAAAUAAUCGGGCAUCAAACCAUGAACCGAAGCUCUAUGAUACAUACUUUCAGUAUGGAUCGGUAGGGGAGCAUUGAAACCUGCAUCGAAGGUGAUAAGCGAUUAUUGCUGGAGCGGUUUCAAAAGAAAAUGUAGGCAUAAGUAACGAUAAAACAGGUGAAAAACCUGUUCGCCGAAAGUCUAAGGGUUCCUGAUCAACGUUAAUCGGAUCAGGGUUAGUCGGGUCCUUAGGUGAACCCGAAAGGGGUAACUGAUGGAAAGCUGGUUAAUAUUCCAGCACCCGUUUUAGUUUCGAUGGGGUGACGCAGUUGUGAAAGUUCCCCGCACUUACGGAAUAGUGCGGUUAAGUACGUAGCUAUUUGUUUUCCAGGCAAAUCCGGAAGAUAAGGCGAAAUACGAAAGUACACCAAUGCUUCGGCUGCGGUGAGUGAACCUAAAGGCUGCCGAGAAAAACCUCUAAGGCUAGGCUAAGACGGCCCGUACCGCAAACCGACACAGGUAGACGGGAUGAAUAUUCUAAGGCGCUCGGGUGAGCCGUGGAGAAGGAACUAGGCAAAUUGACGCUGUAACUUCGGGAUAAGGCGUACCAUAGCGAUAUGGUCACAGUAAAAUGGUUCAACCAACUGUUUAACAAAAACACAGGGCUCUGCAAAAUCGUAAGAUGAAGUAUAGGGCCUGAUACCUGCCCGGUGCUGGAAGGUUAAGGAAGGGUGUUCGGGGGUAACCCCAAAGCUCCUGACUGAAGCCCCAGUAAACGGCGGCCGUAACUAUAACGGUCCUAAGGUAGCGAAAUUCCUUGUCGGGUAAGUUCCGACCUGCACGAAUGGUCUAAUGAGUUGAACACUGUCUCCUCCACGAGCCCGGUGAAAUUGUAGUAUCGGUGAAGAUGCCGGUUACCCGCCACGGGACGGAAAGACCCCGUGAACCUUCACUACAACUUUGCAUUGAUUUUGAACAACCAGUGUGUAGGAUAGUUGGGAGACUAUGAAGCAUCGUCGCCAGGCGGUGUGGAGUCAACGUUGAAAUACCAACCUCUGUUUGUUUAGAGUCUAAUCCCUAACGGGAAACAGUGCAUGGUGGGUAGUUUGACUGGGGUGGUCGCCUCCUAAAGAGUAACGGAGGCUUGCAAAGGUUCCCUCAGUACGGUUGGUAAUCGUACGCAGAGCGCAUCAGUAUAAGGGAGCUUGACUGUGAGACAGACAAGUCGAUCAGGGACGAAAGUCGGCUGAAGUGAUCCGGUGGUUCCGCAUGGAAGGGCCAUCGCUCAAAGGAUAAAAGGUACUCCGGGGAUAACAGGCUGAUCUUUCCCAAGAGCUCAUAUCGACGGAAAGGUUUGGCACCUCGAUGUCGGUUCGUCACAUCCUGGGGCUGGAGAAGGUCCCAAGGGUUCGGCUGUUCGCCGAUUAAAGUGGCACGUGAACUGGGUUCAGAACGUCGCAAGACAGUUCGGUCCCUAUCUGUGGUGGGCGCAAGUAAAUUGAGAGGACAUGACCUUAGUACGAGAGGACCGGGUCGUACGUACCGCUGGUGUAUCAGUUGUGCCGCCAGGUGCAAUGCUGAGUAGCUAAGUACGGACAGGAUAAACGCUGAAAGCAUCUAAGCGUGAAACCUUCCUCAAGAUGAGUUUACUUUUAAGGGCCGUAGGAGACGACUACGUUGAUAGGCUACAGAUGUAAAGCUGGUAACAGCACAGUCGAGUAGUACUAAUUGCCCGUACGCUUUAAUUUU